rnacentral:rRNA from 1 species
CCUACGGGUGGCAGCAGUGAGGAAUAUUGGUCAAUGGCCGGAAGGCUGAACCAGCCAAGUCGCGUGCAGGAUGACGGCUCUAUGGUUUGUAAACUUCUUUUAUACGGGAAUAACGGUCUCUACGUGUAGAUCUUUGCAUGUACCCUAUGAAUAAGCAUCGGCUAAGUCCGUGCCAGCAGCCGCGGUAAUACGGAGGGUGCGAGCGUUAUCCGGAUUUAUUGGGUUUAAAGGGUGCGUAGGUCGUAUUUUAAGUCAGCUGUGAAAGGUUGGGGCUCAACCCUGGACUUGCAGUGGGAACUGGAAUGCGUGAGUGUGCGUAAGGCAGGCGGAAUGCGUGGUGUAGCGGUGAAAUGCAUAGAUAUCACGAAGAACCCCGAUUGCGAAGGCAGCUUGCUGAAGCGGGACUGAUGCUGAUGCUCGAAAGCGUGGGUAUCGAACAGGAUUAGAUACCCGGGUAGUC